AGGCGACACAAGAGUGUGAGUACUGAGGCGUCUCUUCUUGGGGGGCCCCGACAGGGCAGAUCCCACAGCUACUGGUUGGUUACACCGGCUGCCUACGCUCACAAGUCAAUGUCAACAGAACACAAUGCUGACCACUAGGUGGCGGGGUUGUAAAGCCAAAGACCCAAGGCAGACAGACUCCAGAGCCAGAAUCUCCAGUCCGAACCAAGAGAUCACAGCAAAGCUCACUUUAUGACAACUUUGAAGGAAACUUCCUUCACUUGACAGGAGCUGCUUAUCUGAUGCAUAAGCUGAAGAAAAAUACGCAAACAAGACUGAAUGUAACACAGGAAAUUAAAAACAUCAAACAAGACUCCUCAAAUGCGGAUCGCGUUCUCUUGAUCACUUCAAGGGGCUUUGCUGAAGUGUCAUUUUUUUGUUGUUGUUGUUGUUGUUUUGUUUUU